UUAUAGAUAGCGUCCGCGUUAGGGAUAGUAGCGUAAAGCCCGCAGCGUGCGCAGGCCAUUGUGCAAAGGCAAAGCGAGGACUUGCAGCGGAUAGCCCGCCCGUUG
rnacentral:sRNA from 1 species